GUGGGGAAUCUUGCGCAAUGGGCGAAAGCCUGACGCAGCCAUGCCGCGUGAAUGAUGAAGGUCUUAGGAUUGUAAAAUUCUUUCGCCGGGGACGAUAAUGACGGUACCCGGAGAAGAAGCCCCGGCUAACUUCGUGCCAGCAGCCGCGGUAAUACGAAGGGGGCUAGCGUUGCUCGGAAUUACUGGGCGUAAAGGGCGCGUAGGCGGACAGUUUAGUCAGAGGUGAAAGCCCAGGGCUCAACCUUGGAAUUGCCUUUGAUACUGGCUGUCUUGAGUACGGGAGAGGUGAGUGGAACUCCGAGUGUAGAGGUGAAAUUCGUAGAUAUUCGGAAGAACACCAGUGGCGAAGGCGACUCACUGGCCCGUUACUGACGCUGAGGCGCGAAAGCGUGGGGAGCAAACAGGAUUAGAUACCCGGGUAGUCC
rnacentral:rRNA from 1 species